rnacentral:rRNA from 1 species
UACAGAGGUCCCAAGCGUUGUUCGGAUUCAUUGGGCGUAAAGCGCACGUAGGCGGAUUGUUAAGUCAGGGGUGAAAUCCUGGAGCUCAACUCCAGAACUGCCUUUGAUACUGGCGAUCUCGAGUCCGGGAGAGGUGAGUGGAACUGCGAGUGUAGAGGUGAAAUUCGUAGAUAUUCGCAAGAACACCAGUGGCGAAGGCGGCUCACUGGCCCGGUACUGACGCUGAGGUGCGAAAGCGUGGGGAGCAAACAGG